rnacentral:rRNA from 1 species
UACGUAGGGUGCGAGCGUUGCCCGGAUUUAUUGGGCGUAAAGGGCGCGUAGGCGGCUUGGCAAGUGGAAGGUGAAAUCCCUCGGCUUAACCGAGGAACUGCCCUCCAAACUGCUUCGCUUGAGACCGGGAGAGGUGAGUGGAAUUCCCAGUGUAGCGGUGAAAUGCGUAGAUAUUGGGAGGAACACCAGUGGCGAAGGCGGCUCACUGGACCGGUACUGACGCUGAUGCGCGAAAGCGUGGGGAGCAAACAGG